UUGGAAAUACUGUAGUUUGUACUUAAUGACACUGUCAGCACAUUUCUAGGCAAUACAAACUCUUGAGGCUAAAUCCUCAUCCUGACAUGACAGUGCAAGCCUGUCAAAAUGUGACCCCAAAACCAGGUGUCCUUUUGCUCCAUUAUUUAUAUCUGUAAACCUGUUAUUAUUUUCAGAAUUCAGAAAGGCCUAAGAAAAUUACAUCUAUGAUAAUAAAGUGUAUUUCUUUGUCAAGUUUCUAGAGCUAUAUAAGGAUAGCGAAAAUAUUUGGUUCAGCAAGACACUGGGGUAUCAAGUCAGGCAUAAUAAGCACUUUAUAGCACAUCUAGCCUUCCUCAUUCCCUUACGCAGUGGACAUCAUACCCUUUUGUGGAGGAGGGACCAGGCAGAGAAGGUAUUUAAAUAAAAACUGGUAGAUACAGAGUCAGAAGUCAACCCAGGCAGUUAGAAUCUACAACCCACACUGUUUGCCACCAAAUCUUAGUAGAUGCUUGAUAAGGAAUUUUGUUUGGAUGGUGCCAUUUUUAGAUAAACGUACGUUUCUUUUGGUAAAUUCAGGUUAGGAUCAUAAGCAGUAAACUACCAAAUACUCCUUUGUGCUUUGAACAUGCACACUGGAUGAGUGGGGAGGGGAAUGACAAAGCUUCAAACUCCGGGUCUCUGUAACACUCUAUCUGUACCUUUCAUGUUUAACCUACACAAAUACCACAGUCCUGCGUGGUAGUUCACACACACUAUUCACCCUGUCGAGUUUCGACAUUACUUUUAUGUCCAUUCUAAUGCAGCAGUCACAGACUGACCCCCCAGGUAUGUUGGAUUUGAUCCAUUAUUUUCUUAAUUUGGAUUACUUACCAAUUCUUCUAAUCAGGAGUGUGAAUGAAAUAGAAUUCUACCAUUAGUAGAAUCACUGCAGAUGUUUCUAAAUAUGAAGAGCUUUUGGGGGUUGGAGGCAGCACACUAUUAUUUUGGUGAGCUAAGCUAUCUACAGCCACUUACAUACGUUUGAAGUUUGCAGAAAGGUGGGUCUUAAAAUCAUACAUAUUACAAUAAAAAUUACUCACAAAGGAAAAACUGUUCCCCAAAAAUUAACACACCAAACUGGCCCAUGAUUAAAUAGGACAAUUUCAAGUUUAAGGGUAUAAAAGCAAUAGAACAAAGUUAAUAAGUAUCUCCCAUACCUACCCCAUGUACAGCCUCCUGAAAGACACCAAAAAUAAGAAAUGGAGGAAGUCUUCGUUAUAACAAGCAAUUUCAGGACAAGAGUUAUGCCUCAUAAAUCAAAUGUGUAAUGGACCAAGAAAUAUGGCUAUAGAUCUUACCUCUAUAGGCUAAGAAUAUGAAGACCCAAAUGCAAAUAGUUAAUACUAAAAUGUCAAGCUUAUUAACUGUUAAACACAAAAUGUACUACCUUAAUUUGCUUAAAUUAGCAAAACAUGAGGUGAAAAUGAAAAUGGAAAACUUCACACAGUUACUGGUGUCCUCUGGAACCUCUCCAGAAAGCAAUGAUGAAGUGUGUAAAAAAUAAUCCCAAGAAUAUAAACAGAAAACAUACAGGUAUGUUCAUGGUUUACUUAUAUCCAGCAAGAUUAUUAAAGUGGUGAAACACUCAGAUGACCAUGUUGUGUGAUGAAAGGCCUACAAGGUAAUACAUAAAAGGGCUCCCAAUAUCUUUGAAAAUAAACAUGUGGCUGGAGCCAGCUGCUCAUGCCUGUAAUCCCAGCACUUCAGGAGGCCAAGGCAGGAGGAUCACUUGAGCCCAAGGGGUUUGAGACCAGCCUGGGCAACAUAGCGAGACCCCAUCUCCACAAAAAAAUUUAAUUAGCCAAGCAUGAUGCCAUACACCUGUACUCUCAGCUACGCAGGAGGAUGAGAUGGGAGGAUCACUUGAGCCCAGGAGUUUGAGGCUGCAGUGAACCGAUUGCACCAUUAUACUCCAGCCUGGGUGACAGAGGAUGAGCAUAUGUACAUACACAU
rnacentral:lncRNA from 10 species